GAAGCGGGCAGGCAUAGUGUGAUAAUGUCAAAUUUAUGGGGUGUUUCCGUCAUUUUACUGGAAAUCAGGUAUAGGCCACGUGGGUCGGAGGAGCCGGUUUAGGCGCCGCUUGCACUUAGUGACACCGACGAUGACAGUUUGAAUCGGCCCUUUCUUCCGUCUCUCCCCUCCUUUUCAUCAGUACAAUUGGUAGCCCUACCCCUCCCCGCCGUCAGUUUGUAUCCGCUUUUUCUUGUUCACCGCCGGAACGCACCCUCCUCUCUGUUUGAUCAUUAGAGCUGCCGCCGCCGUGAAGCUAUCAGUUUCGAUUGGACGGGUCUCUCUUCGGGACACGAUGGUGAGGGCAUAUGCACAAGAGCACACCUACAAACACCCAUGGGAGCGUGUGACUACUGCUUCCUGGCGCAAAUUUGCUGAUCCUGAGAACAAGAGCACACUGUCUCACAUCCUUGAAGUGGAUACUUUGAACCGCAAGCUUGACUCUACUUCAGGAAAGCUUUACACAACACGAGCCAUCACCAUCCAUGCCCCCGGACCUUGGUUUAUUCGCAGAAUCAUUGGUCAAGACAUCUGUCAUUGUGUUGAAUCUACAGUUGUUGAUGCCAAUUCUCGAUCGAUGCAACUUGCUACCCGCAAUAUCAGUCUGCAGAAGUUCAUUGAGGUGGAGGAGAAGAUCCGCUAUGAUCCCCAUCCACAGAAUCCUAAUGAAUGGACAAUUUGCAAACAGGAAACUAGCAUUAGAAUAAAACCCCUAUCAUCACUGGCGUCAAUGGCGGAGAAGAUUGAGCAAAAGUGUGUGGAUAAAUUUCAACAGAAUAGUGCUAAGGGUAGGGAAGUCAUGGAGAGAAUCUGUAAGUAUCUUGAAGCUGAAGCUAGCGGAAUCUCAAUAUGAAUAGAUUUUUCAGUAUUUAAGCCUAGGUGUUGUACCUGUGAGGGUUGAACUAGAUGGAACUAGGAUUGCAGUGGAAAGCUUUGUAGGACUUGAUAGUUGAUCUUUACUUAGUUAGACGUAAUAAUGUUUAAUAGAGGAAUACUUGCUUGAUAUGCACCUCAUGCAACUUGCCCAGAAUGGAAUGGCCAUGAGGUAUUGGAUGAGAUACAUGAAAUCCUAGCUGCUUUUGGAUGUAGCUUUUGCUAUGUUGGAAUUCAUGGAUUUGGUGUCAAGCAUGUCAUACCAAAUUGUCAACACGAUGAGAACUUUAAUUUAGAUUUUAACAUGGCAAGCCGGUGUUGCUGCUGCUGCUAUUAGAUUCAAAAAUUCACUGUCUGAUUAGGUCUAAGAUUGAAAGACAGGCUUAGGCCAAUAGAAGCUCAAUAGAAAGCGGAUAUUUGUACUUGAAACUGGUCAAGAUUGCGUUGAUUUUAUCUCCAAAUUUUGUGUGAGACGCUGCAUAAAAA